GACGAACGCUGGCGGCGUGCCUAAUACAUGCAAGUCGAGCGGACUUUCAAGAAGCUUGCUUUUUGAAAGUUAGCGGCGGACGGGUGAGUAACACGUGGGCAACCUGCCUGCAAGACGGGGAUAACUCCGGGAAACCGGGGCUAAUACCGGAUAAUAUCUUCCUUCGCAUGAAGGAAGGUUGAAAGGCGGCGCAAGCUGCCGCUUGCAGAUGGGCCCGCGGCGCAUUAGCUAGUUGGUGAGGUAACGGCUCACCAAGGCGACGAUGCGUAGCCGACCUGAGAGGGUGAUCGGCCACACUGGGACUGAGACACGGCCCAGACUCCUACGGGAGGCAGCAGUAGGGAAGCUUCCGCAAUGGACGAAAGUCUGACGGAGCAACGCCGCGUGAGCGAAGAAGGUCUUCGGAUCGUAAAGCUCUGUUGUCAGGGAAGAACAAGUACCGUUCGAACAGGGCGGUACCUUGACGGCACCUGACCAGAAAGCCACGGCUAACUACGUG
rnacentral:rRNA from 1 species